rnacentral:rRNA from 1 species
GAUGAACGCUGGCGGCGUGCCUAAUACAUGCAAGUCGAGCGAACGGAUGAGAAGCUUGCUUCUCUGAUGUUAGCGGCGGACGGGUGAGUAACACGUGGAUAACCUACCUAUAAGACUGGGAUAACUUCGGGAAACCGGAGCUAAUACCGGAUAAUAUUUUGAACCGCAUGGUUCAAAAGUGAAAGACGGUCUUGCUGUCACUUAUAGAUGGAUCCGCGCUGCAUUAGCUAGUUGGUAAGGUAACGGCUUACCAAGGCAACGAUGCAUAGCCGACCUGAGAGGGUGAUCGGCCACACUGGAACUGAGACGCGGUCCAGACUCCUACGGGAGGCAGCAGUAGGGAAUCUUCCGCAAUGGGCGAAAGCCUGACGGAGCAACGCCGAGUGAGUGAUGAAGGUCUUCGGAUCGUAAAACUCUGUUAUUAGGGAAGAACAUAUGUGUAAGUAACUGUGCACAUCUUGACGGUACCUAAUCAGAAAGCCACGGCUAACUACGUG